AUGUGAGGAGCAAUCUAGUAGCGGCUCAGCUUUCACUGUCUCGGAGGGCGUUUCCAUCCCGAUCCCCGAGAAGAAGAUUUAAAUAAAGUGCCAGGCUGUGCCAUUCAAACACAGACAGCAUAGCUUGGCCCGGACAUGAAAAGGAACUUCUGGUUCUGUUGCAUCAGAGCAGGACCUGCCAUGUGACCAACACACUUCCCUUUGGAGGUAAAUACACAAUUCAUUCAACCUGCGGCUGUAUCCCUUCACUCCAGUUCUUCAGAUCUUAGCUUUCUCUUCUAGAAAUCGCUCAACUGUUGCUAAUUUUAAAAUAUGAACUGUGGAACUAAGAGGAAGCCUGUGUCUGCUAUUAACUCAACAAAAAGCCCCCUAGAGGACGUAUCAAACUGAAUUCUUCUUUGAAGAAUUAAGAAUUAGUCAGGGAAGGAGGGGUGAACUCAGUAAAGGAGAUAGCAUUUGCUCACGCGUUCAUUGUGCUGUGCAGUAAACAAAUAAGUUUCAGAUAAGAUGAGAUCAACUCAAAUAGUCACACCAGGCAGACUCUUUCUUGUGGGUUAAUCUUCCCUAGGAGUUUGAGCUUUAUACUAAAGACUGUAGGAACCUGGCGAAGGAUGGAAAUCAGAUCAGUAGAAGCAGUGGGGAAAGGAUUACAAGGGAAGCUGAACCCCAGGGAAGAUAAUAGUGACCUUAUGGGGAAGUGCUCCAAGACCACUUGAGGCUGGGGUGUAAUUCAGAGAAACGAAGGAAGAAGAAUCCACAGAUCCUGAUGAUAUAACCAGUCAACUUGGACUUAAAAGUUGAGAGAGAAUACACAAUGAAAAAUCUCAUAGGUUUUGGUAUCUAAAAGACUGCAUGAAGAGUAUACAAUUUGCCAAGACUGUCUUCUGAGGAUCUGGGACACGUAUUCACAACAUGUACCUGAUGAAGAGCAUCUUGCAGAAAACCUGCACCUGCUUAUGUUUCCUUGUGCUCUUGAUUAACUUGUUGGAUUUCCUGCUUGUGUUUCCUUGUGCUCUUGAUUAACUUGUUGGAUUUCCAUUGGAUUGGUCUUCCAGUGACAUGGAAAGCUUGUAGCUUUGGAGCAAAGAAGUGACAUGACCCACUGACAUCUCAGAAGAUCACUCUGGCUACGGAUUAGUAAACAGAUGAUAAAUGAACAAGGAUGGAAGAAAGGAGGUCAGUCUGUUGUCUUCGAAGUAACAGGAAGGAUAUUGGAGUCUUCAUGAGGUUUAGCUAUGGGUAUGGACUGAGUAUAUGCAAAGGUCAAGUAAUGUGUGACCAAGAAUGCAUGGAAAUCUACAAAUAGUGGAAAGCUCCCUAAUUUAGCCUUAUGCAAUGGGUCUCCAGCAUGCUUAUUGGAAUCCCAUUGUUGUCUAGUUUCUUUAGUACUUGGGAAUGCUUAAGUCUCUGUUUCACAACUGAAAAUCUAAUUAUUUUGUUCCUCAAUGUUCAGUAAACACUGUAGACAUGGCCCUAUUAUUCUCAGUAAAAUAGAUCCACUGGUCCUUGGGGUUUUGAAAAUCAUUCUUUUGGAAAUAUUGAUAGUUCUUACUGUACUGGAGACCUCUUACUAAAUUGAAAUACAGACUUCACAGUCAUAAUAUUGAUAAUUAUGUUUAAUAAGAGAAAAUAUAUCCAGAACUGAAUUCUGUUUUAAUGUAGCAAUGUUUGCUUGCUAAGAGUUUGCUAUAGAUAUUACAGUGCAUUGGGUUACUCAAUGAAUAGGAUCAGUAUCAGAGAAACUUUCAAAUCAUAUCUCCUAUUAUCUUUGGCAUCUAUAGCACAAAUCCUAAUUGGUCUUAAUAAAAACCUGGAGCCAGAUAUCGGGGUAAAUGCUGGAAGAUCAGAGAAGCAGAGCAGCCAGCCACCAGAGUUCUUAUCUCUACUGAAUUCUCAGCUUGAAAGAGCCUGAGGUCCUGUCUCCACCUGCCUUAUAUUCCUUUCUCCGCCCAGCCAUAUCACUUCCUGUCUCAACUUCCCCAGUGCUGGGAUUAAAGAUAUGUGUGCCACUA